rnacentral:misc_RNA from 1 species
AAUUCUCAACCCCUCUCGAUUUACUUCGAUAGGGUGCUUGGAUAGUGGGGGCUGCCGGAGACCUAGACUUUUUGUCCAGGACUCGGGCUCUCCUGAAAUCAAUCGGCUUGCGGUCGGCUUUCGACUAUGCAUGACAAGGCUUUUGGCGUGAUAAUGAUCGCCGUCUGCUGAAGUGCAUGAAUGAACGUCCCGUGCCUCUAAUCUGUCGAUGCCUUAUGGGCCUCUUCUUUAUUGAC